GCUGAGCUUGGUGACGCAGGCUUAUAACCUCAAGUGGGGAGCAUUAAAAUGGUGGAACAAUAGAAAUCUGGAUUUGUGUAAUGUUGUUGAUAGUAAAAGUUGGUUGCGGUUCUCAUGUAUGUUGGGUCAAGGAACUGCUGGCUUAACAGAGCAGCUUAGGUAGUAGAUGGGUGUCUACCACCACCGCCCAUCGUGUACUACGUCCUUCUACCCAUCGAUUACUACACCCUUUAACAAUCAUGAUAUGCACAAUGCAAGAUCUCUUUCCAAUUGGACCAUCAUUUUU
rnacentral:SRP_RNA from 1 species